rnacentral:tRNA from 1 species
GCCCCAGUGGCUUAAUGGACCAGGCACUGGCCUCUAGAACCAGGGGUUGUGGGUUCAAGUCCCACCUGGGGUA